rnacentral:rRNA from 1 species
AUGGAGCAGUUCCAUGACGGCCACCACGUGCGGCUGCGCAGCAGCCAGCUCGGCACGUACCUGCACGCCGACGACAACGGGAUUGGCGUCUCACUCCACCACGGCCGGGCGUCGAUGAACGCCGCGUGGGCGGUGCACUUGCACCAUGACGAGACGUGGGAGGAUGACUAUCUUCUCCUCUACCGCGCCGCCUACGGGCGCUACCUCGCCGCCACGGACGCGCCGGCGCCGGGCGGCGGCCGCCGCGUCGUGCAGCGCAAGUACGACCAUCCGGAGUUCGAGGCAAUGUUUUGGUAUGCCGCCCUGUCAGAAUCCGGGGACGAAGUCUGCCUCCACCACUUCCACGGCGGCAGCCUCCGCGCCAACACGAGGUACCCGUACCCCCGCUGGAACAUCGGCGUCAGCGUCCACGACACCGGAAACGUCACCACGACGAUGCACUGGGUCGUGGAGCACAUCCCCGCCAGGGAGGGCAUGCCUCCCCUUCCAGUUCCCUUCGCCGCCGCCAUGUGGGAGUGGCGGCUGAUCCACUACGUGUGGCCGAACGUCGUCGACCGCGGCUCAUUCUGGUUUAGGGGGAGGUCCGUGUACCACCUGAGGGACGAGCUGGCCAGGCGGCUGGCCAUCGACGCCUCCGACCUCGUCAUGUGCUUCCACACAUAUGCUGCCUGGCUUACCCCACUCCUCGUCGACCUGCCGAGAAACCACCAGCCCGUCGUCAUCGAAGUCGUCAUCGCGGGGACGCCU